ACUCAAAUGAAUAGACGGGGGCCCGCACAAGCAGCGGAGCGUGUGGAUUAAUUCGAUGCAACGCGAAGCACCUCACCCAGGCUUGACAUGGCCCUCACAGCCGGGGAAACCCGGCGGCCGCGAGGCGUGGGCCACAGGUGCUGCAUGGCUGUCGUCAGCUCGUGCCGUGAGGUGUUGGGUUAAGUCCCGCAACGAGCGCAACCCCCGUCCCUAGUUGGGCUUUCUAGGGAGACUGCCGGGCGAACCCCGGAGGAAGGUGGGGACGACGUCAAGUCCGCAUGGCCCUCACGCCUGGGGCGUCACACACGCUACAAUGGCCGGCACAGCGGGCCGCGACCGCGCGAGCGGGAGCCAAUCCCCCAAACCCGGCCCCAGUCCGGAUCGGAGGCUGCAACCCGCCUCCGUGAAGCCGGAGUUGCUAGUAACCGCGCGUCAGCACAGUGCGGUGAAUGCGUUCCCGGGCCUUGUACACACCGCCCGU
rnacentral:rRNA from 1 species